UGGCUCAGAUGGUAGAGAAUCUGACUGCAAUUCAGGAGACCCAGGUUCAAUCCCUGG
rnacentral:tRNA from 1 species